GUGCGCGAGGGUAUUUGCGGUCAAGGGCAUCG
rnacentral:scRNA from 1 species